UACGUAGGUGGCAAGCGUUGUCCGGAAUUAUUGGGCGUAAAGCGCGCGCAGGCGGUCCUUUAAGUCUGAUGUGAAAGCCCACGGCUCAACCGUGGAGGGUCAUUGGAAACUGGGGGACUUGAGUGCAGGAGAGAAGAGUGGAAUUCCACGUGUAAGCGGUGAAAUGCGUAGAUAAUCUGGAGGAACACCGGUGGCGAAGGCGGCGAUCCUGGACCGACACUGACGCUGAGGAGCGAAAGCCAGGGAGCGAAACGGG
rnacentral:rRNA from 1 species